UACGAAGGGGGCUAGCGUUGUUCGGAAUUACUGGGCGUAAAGCGCACGUAGGCGGACUAUUAAGUCAGGGGUGAAAUCCUGGGGCUCAACCUCAGAAUUGCCUCCGAUACUGGCAGUCUCGAGUGCGGGAGAGGUGAGUGGAAUUCCCAGUGUAGAGGUGAAAUUCGUAGAUAUUGGGAAGAACACCAGUGGCGAAGGCGGCUCACUGGCCCGUAACUGACGCUGAGGUGCGAAAGCGUGGGGAGCAAACAGG
rnacentral:rRNA from 1 species